rnacentral:misc_RNA from 1 species
UAUGGACCGAGCUCAAAGAAGUUGCCUAUCAUGGAGGAGCAGCCAGGGCCACCCUGAAGCCAGAUAAGAAGUGGGGUUUGGGAGAGAGGUAAGAGACUGGAUCUUGGGCUUCAUAGAAGGUGUAGAAAAUGGCCGAAUCGGUAUUCGGAUUGACGGGUAAAUAGCCGGAUUUGGUUGGGAGAGCUUCAUCGGGAAAAGUAAAGCUUGAAUUGGCGGUGUUGAAUAGUGAUGAGGCCAAAGAUUGCCGGAUGAGGAGGAUAAGUAGCUGCAAGAAGCAGAUCAAAGUCGCGGUUGACUUCAUUCUUCUGAAGAUAGUGAAGACUGCAGUAGUUGGCUUUAGGUUUUGGAUUGUGAUAUGGAAAUUUGCUGAAGCA